CGGACGGGUGAGUAAUGUCUGGGAAACUGCCUGAUGGAGGGGGAUAACUACUGAAAACGGUAGCUAAUACCGCAUAACGUCGCAAGACCAAAGAGGGGGACCUUCGGGCCUCUUGCCAUCGGAUGUGCCCAGAUGGGAUUAGCUAGUAGGUGGGGUAACGGCUCACCUAGGCGACGAUCCCUAGCUGGUCUGAGAGGAUGACCAGCCACACUGGAACUGAGACACGGUCCAG
rnacentral:rRNA from 1 species